rnacentral:rRNA from 1 species
UUGACGGUUACCGGCUCUUAGCGGAGAGUCCGGCACAAUGGGACUGAGACACGGCCCAUACACCUACGGGUGGCAGCAGUUAGGAAUUUUGCGCAAUGGACGAAAGUCUGACGCAGCGACACCGCGUGGAGGAUGAAGACCUUAGGGUUGUAAACUCCUUUUUAGCGGCCAUGAAGGCCACUAGAAUAAGUAGCUACUAACUACGUGCCAGCAGUCGCGGUAAUACGUAGGCUACGAGCGUUACCCGGAUUUAUUGGGCGUAAAGGGUCUGUAGACGGUUUUCCAAGUCUGGUUUCAAAGCCCCCGACUCAAUCGGGGAAAGGGGUCAGAUACUGGGAUACUAGAGUCAUAUCGGGGUUACUGGAAUUUUUGGUGUAGGGGUUAAAUCCGUGGAUACCAAAAAGAACACCAAGCGCGAAGGCGGGUAACUAGGUAUGUACUGACGUUCAGAGACGAAAGCUAGGGUAGCAAAUCAGAUUAGAGACCUGAGUAGUCCUAGCUGUAAACAUUGUCCGUUAGUUCUUCUCAAUUUAUUGGGAGGGAUGUUAGCUAACGCGUUAAACGGAUCGCCUGGGGAGUAUAGCCGCAAGGCCGAAACUCAAACGAAUUGGCGGGGAGGCGCACAACCAGUGGAGCAUGUGGUUCAAUUCGAUACAAAGCGAUGAACCUUACCUGGGCUUGAAAUGUACCUGCAGACUCCUGAAAGGGAGAGUCCUUCGAGGGUGGUACACAGCUGUUGCAUGGCUGUCGUCAGCUCGUGACGUGAGUUGUUCUCUUAAGUGAGGUAACGAGCGCAACCCCUAUCCCGUGUUAUCGUGUCACGGGAGACUGCCCAGCAUUAUUUUGUUGGGAGGAAGGAGGGGACGACGUCAAGUCAUCAUGAUGCUUAUAUCCAGGGCUACACACAUCCUACAAUGGGUUGUACAGAGGGUUGCAAGACCGCAAGGUGGAGCUAAUCCCUAAAACAUCCCUCAGUUGGGAUUGCAGGCUGAAAUUCGCCUGCAUGAACCCGGAAUUGGUAGU